AAUUGCAUCUACUGUAUCAACACACCCUUUAGCAUCGAACUUCUUUAUUCAACUUGACCUUUUAAUUGAAUUGAAAAAUAAGAUUAUUUUUCAAAAAGGAUUAUUUUUCAAGAGAAUUCACAGAAGCAUCUAAGCUCAAAGGAUAUGAUUUAACUCCAACUGCAUAGACAGGGAGUUUCAACAGAUCUGAACAUCUAGGGAUCUGCAGGAGUCACCAUGGAGAACACGCAUCUGGCUUGCAGUCUUCCUAGGGACGGCCAAUUCUACAUAGGUACUUCUGGACCAAGUUCCACUCAACAGUAUAGAUUUAUCUUAACGAUGAUGCAUUUGACAUAUGAAGCUGAUUCCUUCUCUGCUGCUUUCUCCUGUUGUUUAGUAAGAGUGGAAAGAAAAUACACCGUGUAUUACUCAGUGAUGCAGUUCCAAGUGGGAGGAUGCAAGGACACAGUAAACCUUGGAUGGCAAAGAUCUGGUGCAUCACAAACUAAAGCACAUGAAGAAGCAGAUCCCUUGAGAGAGAGUUUCUCUGUCAGGAUGAGGAUGAGCUUUGGAUUGCUUGCUGACAGAGUUAACAUGUGACCAGUUCUUAGAUAGCCGGGGAUGCCAGCAAGCCAGAAGAGGAAGAAGAGAUGAAUGAAUGUGCAUUCUGCAAGACAGAAGUCUAAGAGAAAGAGAAAGAGAAAAUAAAAGACUUUUUGAAUUAAAGCA
rnacentral:lncRNA from 1 species